AUUUUGAGAAAGUUCUCGGAUCAUGGUCAGCUGAUGAUUGACAAACAUCAGCUCCAAAACAAAACACAUAAACAAAUACAUACUUGCAUAGCCUAUACGUUUGCAGAAAUCUAGUAUAUUUUACAUUACUAUCCUUGAUAUCAUAUUUUCAGACUCACGCAGAUUUUACGAUACACGGCAGAAAUUAUUCUUAUGACGUACUUUAAUUUCUAUGGCCUGUUUCCUGCUUCCGGAAGUCUCGUGUUCGCAGUGGACAGAUCCGCCUUUAACCUGCGCGAGCGUCGCAGUGAUCUGCUGUAGAUCUCAAUCAUGGCCUCCUCAAGCACCGAGGUAGUGACAAAAGCUGACGACAGACAUUUCGACGCUCGAGGUCAGAUCCAAAAAAAUAUUGUGUAUUCCAGGGUUAUUUUUUUCUGUGAAUUCCUUCUGCUUGAAGUAAACUUAUUCCAAGAAAUGGAUAACCAUCGCAAACUGUCUGAAUCCAGUGAUGACAGCGAUGCUUCAGAUAAGAGUAUUGAACUUCCUCCUUCAUUUAACUGUGCUGGGAAUAAACCAGAGGAGAUACUACAGUGGAAACGUAAAACUUUUGAUACAUUCAAAAGUACCAUUGAGGAACUAAAGUCAGAAUAUGAUAGAAAUCAUCCAACACUCAUUGGUCAAAUAAAGAAACUGAAGGACAUCACUGAUGAGAUUGAAUCUGUGCACAAGAGCGCUACAGUGGGCAGUUUGGUUGGAUCAACAUUUGGAGCAGUUGGAGGAAUCACAGCACUAGCGGGUCUGGCUUUACCUCCAUUCAAAUUAGGAGCUUCUUUGUCUCUUAUUACUGUUGGAGCUGUUGCUGGAGUAACUGGAGGAGCAGGGACGUGCACAGGGGGGUUGCUCAGGUUGCCCGGGCAACUGCCCAUAUGCCCUUCUCGACUCACGUUGCCCUUCCGAGGUGGAAAUAAAAUAAAUAAAAAAAAUCGUACAAUGGAUACAGAAUUUCACGUAGGCCUAGAUAAAAAAAAAAUAAUAAUAAAAAAAAAUCGCAAAGCCUCAUUCACUUCCAUAUUCGGGCACCCGUCUGAAAGUGAAAGUCGGUAGGGGAAGGGCAAACUCUCUUUACGUGGCUGCAGCGCUGCACGCGACCGGCACCUGAGCUGAGCCUGCAUGAGCGGCCCUAGAAGGAGAUUGUCGCGGUUGUCGGGUGAGACGACUCAACGUUGUCGGAAAAGUAAUAGUAAGGUUAUAAUCGUUAACGAAAACGAACGAAAAAACGAAAACUAGUUGGGAAAAAAAAUUGUGUUAACUGAAAUAAAAAUAAAAACGAGGCAUUACA
ensembl:lncRNA